rnacentral:rRNA from 1 species
AGCGAACGCUGGCGGCAGGCCUAACACAUGCAAGUCGAACGGAUCCUUCGGGAUUAGUGGCGGACGGGUGAGUAACACGUGGGAACGUGCCCUUUGGUUCGGAACAACUCAGGGAAACUUGAGCUAAUACCGGAUGUGCCCUUCGGGGGAAAGAUUUAUCGCCAUUGGAGCGGCCCGCGUCUGAUUUGCUAGUUGGGGAGGUAAAGGCUCACCAAGGCUACGAUCAGUAGCUGGUCUGAGAGGAUGAUCAGCCACAUUGGGACUGAGACACGGCCCAAACUCCUACGGGAGGCAGCAGUGGGGAAUCUUGCGCAAUGGGCGAAAGCCUGACGCAGCCAUGCCGCGUGAAUGAUGAAGGUCUUAGGAUUGUAAAAUUCUUUCACCGGGGACGAUAAUGACGGUACCCGGAGAAGAAGCCCCGGCUAACUUCGUGCCAGCCGCCGCGGUAACAC